rnacentral:misc_RNA from 1 species
AACGCACCUUGCGCUCCUUGGUAUUCCGAGGAGCAUGCCUGUUUGAGUGUCAUUAAAUUCUCAACUCUACAAGUUUUUAUAACUCGUAUAGCUUGGAUCUUGGGAUUUGCGGGCUUUCACAAGUCGGCUAUCCUUAAAUGCAUUAGCAGUGCUUUUGCCGCUAAUCUCUAGUGUGAUAAUUAUCUACGCUAUUGUGAGGCAGCAUGAAUAGAGCUAUGCUUCUAAUCGUCUUCACGGACAAUACUUGACAAUCUGACCUCAAAUCAGGUAGGAUUACCCGCUGAACUUAA